AAAUCAACAUUAUAACGGCGUAAAGCGUGGUAACAUGCUAUCCAAGUAACUAAGAUUAAAAGGCAGCUAAGUCGUCACAAGCCCAAGGUGCCCAUAAGGCCACUAUUCAAAGAAAAUCUUAGACUACCGAUUAAUUGAAAUCCACGAAAGCCAGGGCCCAAACUGGGAUUAGAUACCCCACUAUGCCUGGCCCUAAAUCUUGGCGCUCGAUCUUACCGGAGCGUCCGCCCGAGAACUACGAGCACAAACGCUUAAAACUCUAAGGACUUGGCGGUGCUCCAAACCCACCUAGAGGAGCCUGUUCUGUAAUCGAUGAUCCACGAUAUACCUGACCAUUCCUUGCCAUAACAGCCUAUAUACCGCCGUCGCCAGCCCACCCCCGUGAAGGCCCAACAGU
rnacentral:rRNA from 1 species